rnacentral:rRNA from 2 species
CGGCGAGUGAAGCGGCAACAGCUCAAAUUUGAAAUCUGGCUCCUUUGGGGUCUGAGUUGUAAUCUGUAGAGGGUGCUUUGGCGUUGGUUGUGGUCUAAGUUCCUUGGAACAGGACGUCACAGAGGGUGAGAAUCCCGUACGUGGCCGCCAGCCUUCGCCGUGUAAAGCCCCUUCGAUGAGUCGAGUUGUUUGGGAAUGCAGCUCUAAAUGGGAGGUAAAUUUCUUCUAAAGCUAAAUAUUUGCCAGAGACCGAUAGCGCACAAGUAGAGUGAUCGAAAGAUGAAAAGCACUUUGGAAAGAGAGUCAAAAAGCACGUGAAAUUGUUGAAAGGGAAGCGCUUGCAGCUAGACGUGCCUUGGGUUGAUCAGCCGGACUUUUGCCCGGUGCACUCUUCCUUGGGCAGGCCAGCAUCAGUUUGGGCGGCUGGAUAAAGGUCUGUUAAACGUGACUUCCUUCGGGGAGAGCUUAUAGGGCAGACGACAUGCAGCCAGCCUGAACUGAGGUCCGCGCAUCUGCUAGGAUGCUGGCGUAAUAGCUGUAAGCGGCCCGUCUUGAAACACGGACCAAGGAGUCUAACAUCUAUGCGAGUGUUUGGGUGUCAAGCCCGAGCGCGUAAUGAAAGUGAACGGAGGUGGGAACCUUUUAGGUGCACCAUCGACCGAUCUUGAUGUCUUCGGAUGGAUUUGAGUAAGAGCAUAGCCGUUGGGACCCGAAAGAUGGUGAACUAUGCCUGAAUAGGGUGAAGCCAGAGGAAACUCUGGUGGAGGCUCGCAGCGGUUCUGACGUGCAAAUCGAUCGUCAAAUUUGGGCAUAGGGGCGAAAGACUAAUCGAAC